rnacentral:rRNA from 1 species
UCAAGCGAAUAAGCGCACACGGUGGAUGCCUAGGCGGUCAGAGGCGAUGAAGGACGUGGUAGCCUGCGAAAAGUGUCGGGGAGCUGGCAACAAGCUUUGAUCCGGCAAUAUCCGAAUGGGGAAACCCACUGCUUCGGCAGUAUCCUGCAGUGAAUUCAUAGCUGCUGGAAGCGAACCCGGUGAACUGAAAUAUCUAAGUAACCGGAGGAAAAGAAAUCAACCGAGAUUCCCUAAGUAGUGACGAGCGAACGGGGAGCAGCCCUUAAGCUGGAAUGGCUUUAGAAAAACAAUCUGGAAAGAUUGGCCAUAGAAGGUGAUAGCCCUGUAUUUAAAAGGGCCACUCCAGUGAAGACGAGUAGGGCGGGGCACGUGAAACCCUGUCUGAAUAUGGGGGGACCAUCCUCCAAGGCUAAAUACUCCUGACCGACCGAUAGUGAACCAGUACCGUGAGGGAAAGGCGAAAAGAACCCCGGAGAGGGGAGUGAAAUAGAUCCUGAAACCGUGUGCGUACAAGCAGUAGGAGCUCGCAAGAGUGACUGCGUACCUUUUGUAUAAUGGGUCAGCGACUUACUGUUCGUGGCAAGCUUAACCGUAUAGGGGAGGCGAAGGGAAACCGAGUCUGAUAAGGGCGCAUAGUCGCGGGCAGUAGACCCGAAACCGGGUGAUCUAGUCAUGGCCAGGGUGAAGGUGCCGUAACAGGUACUGGAGGCCCGAACCCACGUCUGUUGCAAAAGACGGGGAUGAGCUGUGAUUAGGAGUGAAAAGCUAAUCGAACCCGGAGAUAGCUGGUUCUCCUCGAAAGCUAUUUAGGUAGCGCCUCGGACGAAUACUACUGGGGGUAGAGCACUGUUAUGGCUAGGGGGUCAUCGCGACUUACCAAACCAUUGCAAACUCCGAAUACCAGUACGUACUAUCCGGGAGACACACGGCGGGUGCUAACGUCCGUCGUGAAAAGGGAAACAACCCAGACCCACAGCUAAGGUCCCAAAUUCACUGCUAAGUGGAAAACGAUGUGGAAAGGCAUAGACAGCCAGGAGGUUGGCUUAGAAGCAGCCACCCUUUAAAGAAAGCGUAAUAGCUCACUGGUCGAGUCGGUCUGCGCGGAAGAUUUAACGGGGCUAAGCAGUGAACCGAAGCUUGGGGUGCAUAAAACUUGUUUUAUGCGCGGUAGAGGAGCGUUCCGUAAGCCUGCGAAGGUGGAUUGAGAAGUCUGCUGGAGGUAUCGGAAGUGCGAAUGCUGACAUGAGUAACGAUAAUGCGGGUGAAAAGCCCGCACGCCGAAAGCCCAAGGUUUCCUUGCGCAACGUUAAUCGACGCAGGGUUAGUCGGUCCCUAAGGCGAGGGCGAAAGCCGUAGUCGAUGGGAAGCAGGUUAAUAUUCCUGCACCUCGCGUGAGUGCGAUGGAGGGACGGAGAAGGUUAGGUGUACCGGGCGUUGGUUGUCCCGGGGAAAGGCGGUAGGUUUGGAUCUUUGGCAAAUCCGGGAUCCUUUAAGACCGAGUCACCGAGACGAGCCUUUAUACCACGCUUCCAGGAAAAGCUCCUAAGCUUCAGCUCACGAAGACCGUACCGUAAACCGACACAGGUGGGUAGGAUGAGAAUUCUCAGGCGCUUGAGAGAACUCGGGUGAAGGAACUAGGCAACAUGGCACCGUAACUUCGGGAGAAGGUGCACCCUUUUUGGUGGCUCAUGCGAGCUAUAGCUGAAGAGGGUCGCAGAAACCAGGCCGCUGCGACUGUUUAUCAAAAACACAGCACUCUGCAAACACGAAAGUGGACGUAUAGGGUGUGACGCCUGCCCGGUGCUGGAAGGUUAAUUGAUGGGGUCAGCCGCAAGGCGAAGCUCUUGAUCGAAGCCCCAGUAAACGGCGGCCGUAACUAUAACGGUCCUAAGGUAGCGAAAUUCCUUGUCGGGUAAGUUCCGACCUGCACGAAUGGCGUAACGACAGCGGCGCUGUCUCCACCCGAGACUCAGUGAAAUUGAAAUCGCUGUGAAGAUGCAGCGUUCCCGUGGCAAGACGGAAAGACCCCGUGAACCUUUACUAUAGCUUUACACUGAACGUUGAGUUCGUCUGUGUAGGAUAGGUGGGAGGCUAUGAAACUGUGGCGCUAGCUGCAGUGGAGCCAUCCUUGAAAUACCACCCUGUCGUGCUUGACGUUCUAACCUAGAUCCGUUAUCCGGAUCAGGGACCGUGUAUGGUGGGUAGUUUGACUGGGGCGGUCUCCUCCUAAAGAGUAACGGAGGAGCACGAAGGUACGCUCAGCGCGGUCGGACAUCGCGCACUGUGUGCAAAGGCAUAAGCGUGCUUGACUGCAAGAUCGACGGAUCAAGCAGGUACGAAAGUAGGUCUUAGUGAUCCGGUGGUUCUGUAUGGAAGGGCCAUCGCUCAACGGAUAAAAGGUACUCCGGGGAUAACAGGCUGAUACCGCCCAAGAGUUCAUAUCGACGGCGGUGUUUGGCACCUCGAUGUCGGCUCAUCACAUCCUGGGGCUGUAGUCGGUCCCAAGGGUAUGGCUGUUCGCCAUUUAAAGUGGUACGCGAGCUGGGUUCAGAACGUCGUGAGACAGUUCGGUCCCUAUCUGCCAUGGGCGUUGGAAGUUUGAGAGGGGCUGCUCCUAGUACGAGAGGACCGGAGUGGACGAACCUCUGGUGUUCCGGUUGUCACGCCAGUGGCAUUGCCGGGUAGCUAUGUUCGGAAGCGAUAACCGCUGAAAGCAUCUAAGCGGGAAGCGCGCCUCAAGAUGAGACUUCCCGGGGCACAAGCCCCCUAAAGGAACCAUAUAGACUAUGUGGUUGAUAGGUCAGGUGUGUAAGUACAGCAAUGUAUUGAGCUAACUGAUACUAAUGAUCCGUGCGGCUUGACCAU